rnacentral:rRNA from 2 species
GGGACACGUGGUAUCCUGUCUGAAUAUGGGGGGACCAUCCUCCAAGGCUAAAUACUCCUGACUGACCGAUAGUGAACCAGUACCGUGAGGGAAAGGCGAAAAGAACCCCGGCGAGGGGAGUGAAAAAGAACCUGAAACCGUGUACGUACAAGCAGUGGGAGCACAGGUUUACCUGUGUGACUGCGUACCUUUUGUAUAAUGGGUCAGCGACUUAUAUUCUGUAGCAAGGUUAACCGAAUAGGGGAGCCGGAGGGAAACCGAGUCUUAAUUGGGCGUUAAGUUGCAGGGUAUAGACCCGAAACCCGGUGAUCUAGCCAUGGGCAGGUUGAAGGUUGGGUAACACUAACUGGAGGACCGAACCGACUAAUGUUGAAAAAUUAGCGGAUGACCUGUGGCUGGGGGUGAAAGGCCAAUCAAACCGGGAGAUAGCUGGUUCUCCCCGAAAGCUAUUUAGGUAGCGCCUCGUGAAUUCAUCUCCGGGGGUAGAGCACUGUUUCGGCUAGGGGGCCAUCCCGGCUUACCAACCCGAUGCAAACUGCGAAUACCGGAGAAUGUUAUCACGGGAGACACACGGCGGGUGCUAACGUCCGUCGUGAAGAGGGAAACAACCCAGACCGCCAGCUAAGGUCCCAAAGUCAUGGUUAAGUGGGAAACGAUGUGGGAAGGCCCAGACAGCCAGGAUGUUGGCUUAGAAGCAGCCAUCAUUUAAAGAAAGCGUAAUAGCUCACUGGUCGAGUCGGCCUGCGCGGAAGAUGUAACGGGGCUAAACCAU